rnacentral:rRNA from 1 species
UACGUAGGGGGGCAAGCGUUACUCGGAUUCACUGGGCGUAAAGCGCGUGUAGGCGGCUGGUCAAGCGUGGUGUGAAAUCUCCGGGCUCAACCCGGAAACUGCACCGCGAACUGGCCUGGCUGGAGUGCAGGAGAGGGAAGGGGAAUUCCCGGUGUAGCGGUGAAAUGCGCAGAUAUCGGGAGGAACACCAGUGGCGAAGGCGACUACCUGGCCUGUUCUUGACGCUGAGGCGCGAAAGCUAGGGGAGCAAACGGG